UGGUGGAGUGAUUUGUCUGGUUGAUUCCGUUAACGAGCGAGACCUUAACCUGCUAAAUAGCUACGCAAACCUUCUGCCAUGGGGUGCAGCGAGCAGCGCGUAGUGCUUUAAUCGGCGCUGCCGCGGCUCGUGAAUCCUCUGAUGCGUUUGUGGCAAUGCUUCUUAGAGGGACAAUUCGUAUCUAGCGAAUGGAAGUUUGAGGCAAUAACA
rnacentral:rRNA from 1 species